rnacentral:rRNA from 1 species
UUUUUCUUGUUUAUAUGGGAAAUAUGACCUGCCCACUGAUUAAUUGAAGGGCUGCAGUAUUUUGACUGUACAAAGGUAGCAUAAUAAUUAGUUCUUUGAAUGAGGACUUGAAUGAAUGGUUGGACGAGGUGAUUUCUGUAUCUGGCGUAGUUUUAUAAGUUUUAUUUUAAGUUAAAAUUCUUAGUUGAUGUUGUGGGACGAGAAGACCCUAUAGAAUUUUAUUUUCUUCUGUUUUUUGUUGGUGGAGGUAUGAUGAACAGAGUUUAUUUGGUUGGGGUGAUUGAGGAAUGAAUAGCUUCUUUUUUUGUUUAUUGCUUAUGUGCAUUAUGUUGAUCCAUUAAUUGAUGGACUUUAGAUUAAAUUACCUUAGGGAUAACAGCGUAAUUUUUUUGGAGAGUUCUAAUUGAUAAAAGAGAUUGCGACCUCGAUGUUGGAUUAAAAGUUUUGGUUGGCGGAGAAGCUGAUUGAUUGGGUCUGUUCGACCUUGGAGUUUUACA